rnacentral:rRNA from 1 species
AGAGUUUGAUCAUGGCUCAGAUUGAACGCUGGCGGCAUGCCUUACACAUGCAAGUCGAACGGCAGCACGGGAGCAAUCCUGGUGGCGAGUGGCGAACGGGUGAGUAAUAUAUCGGAACGUGCCCAGUCGUGGGGGAUAACGUAGCGAAAGCUACGCUAAUACCGCAUACGAUCUACGGAUGAAAGCGGGGGACUCGUAAGGGCCUCGCGCGAUUGGAGCGGCCGAUAUCAGAUUAGGUUGUUGGUGAGGUAAAAGCUCACCAAGCCUGCGAUCUGUAGCUGGUCUGAGAGGACGACCAGCCACACUGGAACUGAGACACGGUCCAGACUCCUACGGGAGGCAGCAGUGGGGAAUUUUGGACAAUGGACGCAAGUCUGAUCCAGCAAUGCCGCGUGCAGGACGAAGGCCUUCGGGUUGUAAACUGCUUUUGUACGGAACGAAACGGUCUGCUUUAAUACAGCGGGCUAAUGACGGUACCGUAAGAAUAAG